GCCAAGCUGGGGCUUAGACAGCCGCGCUUGCUUACGCGCUUUCGGUCCUCUGCUGCUCCUGGAACUGCUGGAAUGUGGCGGAGCGGCUGCCGGCGCCUCGGGGCGUGGCUCUACUGCCCUCGCAAUGGUCUCCGGGUCCCCGCCGACAGCGGCCGCCGACGCUUGGUCUCCUGCAUCGACCCUUCCAUGGGACUAAAUGAAGAACAGAAAGGAUUCCAGAAAGUGGCCUUUGACUUUGCAGCCCGGGAGAUGGCUCCUCAUAUGGCAGAGUGGGACCAGAAGGAACUGUUCCCAGUGGACAUGAUGCGGAAGGCGGCUCAGCUAGGUUUCGGUGGGGUCUAUGUACAAACGGAUGUAGGUGGGUCGGGACUGUCACGGCUUGAUGCCUCUGUCAUCUUUGAAGCCUUGGCUACAGGCUGCACCAGCACCACAGCCUAUAUCAGCAUCCACAACAUGUGUGUCUGGAUGAUCGAUACCUUUGGAAAUGAGGAACAGAGGCACAGAUUUUGCCCACCACUCUGUACCAUGGAGAAGUUUGCUUCCUACUGCCUCACUGAGCCAGGAAGCGGGAGCGAUGCUGCCUCCCUUCUGACCUCAGCUAAACGACAAGGAGAUCAUUACAUCCUCAACGGCUCCAAGGCCUUCAUCAGUGGUGGAGGCGAGUCAGACAUCUAUGUGGUCAUGUGCCGAACAGGAGGGCCAGGACCCAAAGGCAUCUCAUGCGUCGUUGUUGAGAAGGGGACCCCUGGCCUCAGCUUUGGCAAGAAGGAGAAGAAGGUGGGGUGGAACUCGCAGCCAACCCGAGCAGUCAUCUUCGAAGACUGCGCCGUCCCUGUGGCCAGCAGAAUUGGGGACGAGGGGCAGGGCUUCCUCAUCGCCAUGAAAGGACUAAAUGGAGGGAGGAUCAACGUUGCUUCUUGUUCUCUCGGGGCUGCUCAUGCUUCAGUCAUUCUCACCCGAGACCACCUCAAUGUCCGGAAGCAGUUUGGAGAGCCUCUGGCCAGGAACCAGUACCUGCAGUUCAAACUGGCUGACAUGGCAACCAGGCUGGUGGCCUCAAGGCUGAUGAUCCGCAGUGCCGCAGUGGCCCUGCAGGAGGAACGGGAAGACGCAGUGGCCCUGUGCUCCAUGGCCAAGCUCUUUGCUACAGAUGAAUGUUUUGCUAUCUGCAACCAGGCCUUACAGAUGCACGGAGGCUACGGCUACCUGAAAGACUAUGCUGUUCAGCAGUAUGUGCGGGACUCCAGGGUCCACCAGAUACUGGAAGGAUCGUCAUUCCCGAGAAUCACCUGCAAGUGAUCUUACCCACUCGUGCAUUGUGGCACAUCUUUGGUGGAUUGGCAAGCACCAGCCCCACCGUCUUGUGCUGGCUGCCAAGGGCCCUGCCACCUCUCGGGUAAGAAGAGAGCCAGCAGUACUUGGGGAGGUUUCAGGCAUAGCUGGUAUGGUGGGCCAUUCAUCUUCCAAAUAUUUGUAUUUUCAUAGCUGAAAAAUUGUUUUCACUACUCUUUUCAAGCCUGACAUGGAUUUCUGGUCUUCCUGUAAACUCCAGCUGCUUGUCCCAAAACACACAGUGUUUCGGCUUUGCCACAGAUUCUCUGCUGUUGACCAGGAAACGCCCCUCUUGAGGAGAGUCAGUGUGAUGUGGCCAGAACCUUGGGCUGGCUUCCCUUUUUGUAAUAUUUAGGGAAUAUCUUUGGGCAAAAAUAAAAAUACUACCUAUCUCUUGCCAUCAGUUUUUUUUUUUUAGUUAUGAACACUCCCAUGGGUUUCCUUGGACAGUUCUCCUAUCAUAAAUCAAAACUCAACUUAAUCUGAGUUAUAGAUGUUAUGAGGUCAUGAUUUACAUGCACAGAGGAUAAAACUAUGUCGAUUUUGGCCUCUAGCUAUUUUAUUCUCUAAAACUGCAGGUCAGAAAUAUGUAUAUAGGCCCAUCUUCUGAAACACUCCUUUAGGGUCUGAUAACUGUUUUUUUAUUGUCACCAACUAUAAAGAGUCAGUAUGAAAAGUUUGUGGCAAAGCUUAAUGCAAUUUUCAUCACAAUGCUGUUAAAGCAUGUCUGCUUCUUUAGCCUAAGGGUAGAUGCAUUCAUUUUUCAAAGAUCAAAGUUUACUUUUUCUGCAUGAUUUUUUUGAGUCAUUAAAGACAGUCCCUGGCCACUUACUGACCCCCAACUGUGCCCUCUUUUCCUGACGUCUUUGUUUCUCCUGAUUGAGGAACAUUCCACUUCAUCAAGUGACACCCUGAAUUCUGUUUUCACCUGAGAAGCACUUACUGAGAGCCUCUCACAUGCCCGAUGAUGUGCUAGCUGACGGCCAGAGAUGGAUGUAAAAAAAGGACAUAGACAAGGAAAAUCACUUAUGUUUUGGGAGCCAAACCUACGUUUCAACAAGGCAUUUGGAUUUUCAUCCUCAGUGCUCUGAGAGACCAUCUGAUGGGGAUCAGAGUGAGACAAUUUGAUCAAAGCUUUAAGAUCAUUCUUGUUGUUUUGUG